rnacentral:lncRNA from 1 species
AAAUGGAAAUUGAAGAACUAGAAGAAAGGGAUGAGAGUCAGAACUGGUCAAAGAAAGGGGAUGAGGAAUACAGAUACUCCAUAACAGUUUUGCCUAAAAACCCUUCUUUCUCAUCCUUCAUCUAAUUAACUAGUUGUUUAUUGGGCCCGGGUCCCAAACCAACCUUUGUGAAGGCCUUCUAAUUUUGCUGCUUCUUUUCGGCUUAAUAACUAGUUAUGUGGCCUCCGUAUAGGUAUUGACAUUGGGCCGAGGCUGGUUCAUAACAAUACUCCCAUCCUCAAUAAGAACCUUGUCCUCAAGGUUCGAGUCGAGAACAAUGUUAGUAGCGUGCACCCGGAAGUUGUAGCGAAGAGAAACAAAUUGUUCGAGUGCAAGCAGGCUCUUUCCAAACACAACUGUAGUGUAAGCUUUAGCACCCUUGCGGAGACGUGCAUACUCAAAAGGAGAAUACAUGACCCAAGAAGUAACCAAGUCACUGACAUGUGCCUUGUCUCCUCUGUAAUUAGUGACACCAAAUUCACUGAAGGGUUAUGCGCAAGACCUUUCCAUUGCAUAGCUUCCUGAAGCUUAAAAACAUAAGCACAAUCUGGACCAAUGUGUUCAAUUAGUGCAUUCCACUGCCUUUGCCAUAUAUGUUGCACUAGACUGACAUGAUUGAGUGCUAAGAGAAACUCCAAGGAACUAUAAAAAUGUUCCGAUGCAUCAGUGCCUACAUGUUUCCGCCCAAUACCAUAAAUUUGUUCAUUUCACAAUGUAACUAUGCAAAAAUAAGUAGAAACAAAACUACUAUUUGGAAACAUAUUCCCACUGGCACCACAGGAUAGAGUAAUAUCAUGUAUACCAGGGUCAAAAGGACGAUUUGUAAAGGUGAGAGAAACAAUGAAACCUGGUGAGAAAUAAGAAUAAGGUUGAAGAGUCAUGCUCCAGCCAAAAUUGGUGUUUGGCGAAAGGAUGUAUAGAGCCUUUGUGAAAUUAUUGCACACAAAAUAAGAAGUAGAACUCAACAUCAUCCAUUUGUUCUGCCUUCGUGCAGCCCCUCAACUGGUUCCCCACUAGCCACUCCAAUAUCUUGAUACCAAGAACCCUUGGAUGUGGCUCACCAGCAUUUUGAGUAGCAAAUUGUGAGCAACCCAUUCCCAAGCUGUGUUUGGGCCGAGAAGUAUGUUGCCCAGUGUCAAACCAAUCGCAAGGGGUUAAGCCAUUUUUCACGCUCACACACAAUGCUAGAUCCCUAAAAUCAUGAGGCAUCAAGGGCAAACAGAGCUGGGCGAAUAGGCAUGGGUAAAACUCGACAAUCACAUUAUCUUCUAUAGGAAUGAUAAGUGAAGUCUCUACCUCGUUUUUGUCUUUAUUUUCAACAAUAACAGCAUAGUCAUUGGCCACAUCACACGGGAAAAUAGGAUGUUCAGGAUCAGUAGGGAAAUGUGUGUCAAUAGUAUAUUUGGUCAUCGUACGCAUCUUAUGUGGUUCCAGUAUAGCACCUUUAGACCUAUCAGAAAAUUGAUCAAACACCUGACCUGCAUUACUUUCGAAUUCUGAUAGCUUAGCAUAAUGUUGUGGCAAAAGUGAGUUGGUUAUGUUGCUCCCUCUCACAGACUCAAGUUCUUUUGGUUUAAAUCGAAUUCUCACCUUAGCAGCAAAAUGUGGCCAAUCAAUUAACUGAUUGUUCCUAAAUAACCAUCGGUACCAGUCUAAUGCUUCACCAUCAAGGUAGAAUGAUGCCAUGGUAAGCUUUUGAUCUUCCUCAAUAUUGUAGAAAUCAAAAUAAUGCUCCACUUGGGCUAUCCAAGCCUCCAGAUUCUCACCUCGAAACUGCCAUAAUUUAGCAUCCAUAACUGUGUUUGGGGGUUGAAAAGAGGUUGUAACAUUUUUCCCCAAAGCCUCCAGCAGCACGGAACGAAAUUCAGCGAGAUCUUUAGAGGGUUGGGGAUACCAUGCACACUGAGUCUGCAAAUAAUUUAUAACAUUAGAUGAAAUAAGUAAUUUGAUAAAUAAUAUAAAGAAUUAAUCUAUGUGUAUGUAACAAACUCAAUAACUAGACCAAUGCAAUUCAAACUAAAACAACCGAUAGAUAUAUUUCACUAACUCGUAAUGAAAUUACAAAGGAAUCCAAGUAGUAAAAAUGGAAAUUGAAGAACUAGAAGAAAGGGAUGAGAGUCAGAACUGGUCAAAGAAAGGGGAUGAGGAAUACAGAUACUCCAUAACAGUUUUGCCUAAACCCUUCUUUCUCAUCCUUCAUCUAAUUAACUAGUUGUUUAUUGGGCCCGGGUCCCAAACCAACCUUUGUGAAGGCCUUCUAAUUUUGCUGCUUCUUUUCGGCUUAAUAACUAGUUAUGUGGCCUCCGUAUAGGUAUUGACAUUGGGC